rnacentral:miRNA from 1 species
GAGCCGCGGGCUGGACCUCGAGC